rnacentral:rRNA from 1 species
CCAAUAGCGUAUAUUAAAGUUGUUGCAGUUAAAAAGCUCGUAGUUGAAUUUCGGGAUCAUUAUAUCGGUCGUGCCAUUGGUACGUACUGGUAUCAUUGGUUUCUCCUUUCUGACGAACCAUGAUGUCAUUAAUUUGGUGUUAUGGGGAGUUAGGACUGUUACUUUGAAAAAAUUAGAGUGUUUAAAGCAGGCUUUAGCUUGAAUACAUUAGCAUGGAAUAAUGAAAUAGGACGUUCGAACCAAUUUUGUUGGUUUCUAGGAUCAACGUAAUGAUUAAUAGGGAUAGUUGGGGGCAUUAGUAUUCAAUUGUCAGAGGUGAAAUUCUUGGAUUUAUUGAAGACUAACUACUGCGAAAGCAGUUGCCAAGGAUGUUUUCAUUAAUCAAGAACGAAAGUUAGGGGAUCGAAGACGAUCAGAUACCGUCGUAGUCUUAACCAUAAACUAUGCCGACUAGGGAUCGGAUGAUGUUAAUUUUUUAAUGACUCAUUCGGCGCCUUACG